rnacentral:lncRNA from 10 species
GUCUUCAUGCUUCUACAAGAUAAGAAACAGUUUGGUUCCAACGCUUAAAGAUGGGAAUUGAUCAGCUGGUCUUUCUUGUCUCUUUAGCAUGGUGAUGUUCACUGGUAGUCCUAGCUACACAGGCGGCUGAGGCAGAAGGAUCAUUGAGCCCAGGACUUCAAGCUUACAAUGAGCCACAAUGGUGCCACUGCACUCCAGCCUGGGUGACAGAGUGAGACCCUGUCACUAAAUAAAUAAAUAAGUAUGUGUAAG